GAAAGACCAGGUUUCUUGGGAAGGCAGCAGUUGUCCAGGAAGGGGAAAGAGCUGCCUCAGAGGAUGCAAACCUCCCAGUCUCUUUUGGGCCUUUUCUGGAAUAACAACUCUCGAGCAGGCUCUAGGAAGCUGACGAUGGACAGCUUCCCAGGUAUUGCAGCCUUCACCCCGGAUUAAAGUGGCAGCCCAGUAUUCUGGAGGCAUUUUUGACAAUCUCCCUCUUCUUGAUAAUCCUGGAACUUCAAUGGAACUUAAUCCCAAGCAAGUGUGCAUAGGAUUUCAGCCUUACCACAGCCACCAAAAAUGGCACUAUUAAGAAGAGUGUUGAGCUACUAAAAGAAUUAACGUUGAUUGAUUGAUUGAUAUCCCGCCCUUCCUCCAGCAGGAGCCCAGGACAGUUUAAGACAGGAAAUUAUAAGAGGUCAAAGGGAAAAUUAAC